AAGACGGAAAGACCCCGUGAACCUUUACUAUAGCUUGACACUGAACAUUGAGCCUUGAUGUGUAGGAUAGGUGGGAGGCUUUGAAGCGUGGACGCCAGUCUGCGUGGAGCCGACCUUGAAAUACCACCCUUUAAUGUUUGAUGUUCUAACGUGGACCCGUUACCCGGGUUGCGGACAGUGUCUGGUGGGUAGUUUGACUGGGGCGGUCUCCUCCUAAAGAGUAACGGAGGAGCACGAAGGUUGGCUAAUCCUGGUCGGACAUCAGGAGGUUAGUGCAAUGGCAUAAGCCAGCUUGACUGCGAGCGUGACGGCGCGAGCAGGUGCGAAAGCAGGUCAUAGUGAUCCGGUGGUUCUGAAUGGAAGGGCCAUCGCUCAACGGAUAAAAGGUACUCCGGGGAUAACAGGCUGAUACCGCCCAAGAGUUCAUAUCGACGGCGGUGUUUGGCACCUCGAUGUCGGCUCAUCACAUCCUGGGGCUGAAGUAGGUCCCAAGGGUAUGGCUGUUCGCCAUUUAAAGUGGUACGCGAGCUGGGUUUAGAACGUCGUGAGACAGUUCGGUCCCUAUCUGCCGUGGGCGCUGGAGAACUGAGGGGGGCUGCUCCUAGUACGAGAGGACCGGAGUGGACGCAUCACUGGUGUUCGGGUUGUCAUGCCAAUGGCACUGCCCGGUAGCUAAAUGCGGAAGAGAUAAGUGCUGAAAGCAUCUAAGCACGAAACUUGCCCCGAGAUGAGUUCUCCCUGAGACUUAGAGUCUCCUGAAGGAACGUUGAAGACGACGACGUUGAUAGGCCGGGUGUGUAAGCGCAGCGAUGCGUUGAGCUAACCGGUACUAAUGAACCGUGAGGCUUAACCUU
rnacentral:rRNA from 1 species